rnacentral:rRNA from 1 species
AGUGAACGCUGGCGGUAGGCCUAACACAUGCAAGUCGAACGGCAGCACAGUAAGAGCUUGCUCUUACGGGUGGCGAGUGGCGGACGGGUGAGGAAUACAUCGGAAUCUACUUUUUCGUGGGGGAUAACGUAGGGAAACUUACGCUAAUACCGCAUACGACCUACGGGUGAAAGCAGGGGAUCUUCGGACCUUGCGCGAUUGAAUGAGCCGAUGUCGGAUUAGCUAGUUGGCGGGGUAAAGGCCCACCAAGGCGACGAUCCGUAGCUGGUCUGAGAGGAUGAUCAGCCACACUGGAACUGAGACACGGUCCAGACUCCUACGAGAGGCAGCAGUGGAGAAUAUUGGACAAUGGGCGCAAGCCUGAUCCAGCCAUACCGCGUGGGUGAAGAAGGCCUUCGGGUUAAAGCCCUUUUGUUGGGAAAGAAAAGCAGCAGGUUAAUACCCCGCUGUUCUGACGGUACCCAAAGAAUAAGCACCGGCUAACUUCGUG